AAAAAAAGGAUGUGAAUGUCGGCGGUCAACUGUAGGGGCGCGCUGAUAUUGAAACGUUUGUAUAACGGAAAUAGGAAUACUUUGUACGGUCCUUAUUUCCGGUUGCAGAUCCGGCGCAUGAGACACCAAUGUUAGCCGUUUGGGCUUCCAGCGGGCGUUCAAGUCGAAAAAACCUGGGCACGGUGGCUACAUGUCGUUGAUUGAAAUGAACACGCGGGUUCCAUUUCAGCUGCAACAUCAUGUUUUCCACAGACAAGCAGAUGGGCUAUCAGUGUUUCAUGAAGUUGUUCGACCUGAGGGAUCCGCAGAUCGGUGCUUAUGGGAGGUGGGCAGGAGGCCAUGGAAGUGACCACAGGAUUGGGAAGUUUGAGGCCAGGUUCUACCAAGCAGUGUACGAGGAGGAGUUUGGCAGGAGUCAAAGGUCAUUGUGGUCCCAUCAACCGUGUGGCUUUCCACCCUGACAACAAAAAUGCAAUGGAGGAGAAGAAUUGUGAAUACAGCAGCUAGGACUCUGCCAGGGAGAGUGGAGAAGCAACAAUUUGAAGCAGAUCCUUCAGCGUGGAGCCAGAUUGGGCUGCUUCAAUGUCACCAUUAAAAGACUUGACCGUUGGAAUAGAUGAAGGUUUGUUAUGGAGCGAGGUGUGCAGUACCGACCGAAGAGGGGACAUGUUAUUUCCAAGAGCUGUUGCAGUGGUGUCCGAAGGACCGAUGAGGAAUGACGUGACGCUCCUGUCGUCUGACUGCUGGUACCUGACGGUGUAGCGGCUGGGCGAGCAGUGGGCCGAGGAAAGUUCAGUUUGCACGCUUCCUCCUGGAGACAAAAUGGUGCAAAAUGACAUGGUGUAAUUUGUAAAGGCUUUCUGUUGUUGUAUCAGUAAAUAUGAAUGACUUGACUCUGUAUCACUGUUUGUUGGAUGAGUUUUUAUUGGCUGUGUAGAAGUCAACAUGAGCGGACCGAUUGGUGAAAUGAAUGUGAUUGUAUUACUUAUUCAAAAGAGUCGGAAUACAAGUAACCAACUGGCUCGGUUGAGUUAGUUUGUUUGUGUUGUAGGAUGACAGUAGUAUUUGUGGAAUGGUGAAGGUUUUCAUGAUUUCAGGGUAGUUGUCUGAGGAAUGUGUGCGAAUGCAGUGGAGAAGCAGUUUGGUGAAUGGAGGUUUGUCGUCAGGGGUGUAGACAAAUGUGUAAUUGUAAGGCAAAUGUGGUGUUAAUGUAGAAAGGGGGGGUGAGGAGGAGGAAGAGAGUUAGGAUUGAAGUGUAUGUGAGGACUCCAUCCGUUUUAGGUGUGUGGUAUAUCAAGCAGAAGUAGUGUUAGAGGGGAGAUAGUCGAAUGAGGUUGUUGGGUGCGUGCUACGUAAAAGUGGGGCUUUUAAGCCAGAUCUAGAGUGGUGUGUGACGGAGGAGACGGCAGUGAUAGUGCAGUAAAUAAGACGGUGCGGUGUUGCCGCUGCGAUAAUGUGAAAGUCUCCUUUGGCGUUGUCCCUUUUUCAGGGGUUGCAGUCAUUGGGAUGACUUAAUUCGUGAUCCUUGUCACUCCUGAAGUGAAUGUUGGCAUGUGUUAAUGGCCAGCUCCUGUCUAUAAACGUGUGCACCGUAGCUGAUGCUGUUCUAUGACGGAUUGGUGUAGCGCAGGGGUGUAACUGUUAAAACGAUGGGGGUAAAGUGAGGUAUGUGUAUGGAAAACUUUGAAUAUGUGUUCAGUGAUAUGAAGUGAAUAUGUAAUGGUAUAUGUGAUAGGGAAUAUAAGUUGUACCGACGUAGAUUACGCUUAGUGAUGAGCGGGGUGAAGUGGGGAAAAAUUUGAAAUAGUUAAUGUUUAAAGUGUAACAGGUGUUGAUGUCGCAGAAAUCCGUGAGAGGUGUACAGGUAGAUCGUGAUCGCCAUUGUAAGAUGAGUAUUUAACUGUUCAGCCGUGUGGAUUAUGUGUUGGUACGACUGAGCUUCAUUUGUGUAGCGCAGUGGUUGUCAAAUGUUUGUAUGCCUUGUACCAGCUGAGAGAUGCCGAAGUAGUAGCAGUGCACUGCGUUUGAGAUGUAUUGAGUGGAACAUAGGUGUCAAUGUCAAGGCCCGGGGGCCAAGUGCAGCUUGCCAAGCUGUGGGCCGCGGAAGCGUAAAAA